UACGAAGGGGGCUAGCGUUGCUCGGAAUCACUGGGCGUAAAGCGCACGUAGGCGGAUUGUUAAGUCAGGGGUGAAAUCCUGGAGCUCAACUCCAGAACUGCCUUUGAUACUGGCGAUCUCGAGUCCGGGAGAGGUGAGUGGAACUGCGAGUGUAGAGGUGAAAUUCGUAGAUAUUCGCAAGAACACCAGUGGCAAAGGCGGCUCACUGGCCCGGUACUGACGCUGAGGUGCGAAAGCGUGGGGAGCAAACAGG
rnacentral:rRNA from 1 species